AUUGAACGCUGUGCGGCAGGCCUAACACAUGCAAGUCGAGCGGUAGCACAGAGAGCUUGCUCUCGGGUGACGAGCGGCGGACGGGUGAGUAAUGUCUGGGAAACUGCCUGAUGGAGGGGGAUAACUACUGGAAACGGUAGCUAAUACCGCAUAACGUCGCAAGACCAAAGUGGGGGACCUUCGGGCCUCAUGCCAUCAGAUGUGCCCAGAUGGGAUUAGCUAGUAGGUGGGGUAACGGCUCACCUAGGCGACGAUCCCUAGCUGGUCUGAGAGGAUGACCAGCCACACUGGAACUGAGACACGGUCCAGACUCCUACGGGAGGCAGCAGUGGGGAAUAUUGCACAAUGGGCGCAAGCCUGAUGCAGCCAUGCCGCGUGUGUGAAGAAGGCCUUCGGGUUGUAAAGCACUUUCAGCGGGGAGGAAGGCGUUAAGGUUAAUAACCUUGGCGAUUGACGUUACCCGCAAAAGAAGCACCGGCUAACUCCGUGCCAGCAGCCGCGGUAAUACGGAGGGUGCAAGCGUUAAUCGGAAUUACUGGGCGUAAAGCGCACGCAGGCGGUCUGUCAAGUCGGAUGUGAAAUCCCCGGGCUCAACCUGGGAACUGCAUUCGAAACUGGCAGGCUAGAGUCUUGUAGAGGGGGGUAGAAUUCCAGGUGUAGCGGUGAAAUGCGUAGAGAUCUGGAGGAAUACCGGUGGCGAAGGCGGCCCCCUGGACAAAGACUGACGCUCAGGUGCGAAAGCGUGGGGAGCAAACAGGAUUAGAUACCCUGGUAGUCCACGCCGUAAACGAUGUCGAUUUGGAGGUUGUGCCCUUGAGGCGUGGCUUCCGGAGCUAACGCGUUAAAUCGACCGCCUGGGGAGUACGGCCGCAAGGUUAAAACUCAAAUGAAUUGACGGGGGCCCGCACAAGCGGUGGAGCAUGUGGUUUAAUUCGAUGCAACGCGAAGAACCUUACCUGGUCUUGACAUCCACAGAACUUUCCAGAGAUGGAUUGGUGCCUUCGGGAACUGUGAGACAGGUGCUGCAUGGCUGUCGUCAGCUCGUGUUGUGAAAUGUUGGGUUAAGUCCCGCAACGAGCGCAACCCUUAUCCUUUGUUGCCAGCGGUUAGGCCGGGAACUCAAAGGAGACUGCCAGUGAUAAACUGGAGGAAGGUGGGGAUGACGUCAAGUCAUCAUGGCCCUUACGACCAGGGCUACACACGUGCUACAAUGGCAUAUACAAAGAGAAGCGACCUCGCGAGAGCAAGCGGACCUCAUAAAGUAUGUCGUAGUCCGGAUUGGAGUCUGCAACUCGACUCCAUGAAGUCGGAAUCGCUAGUAAUCGUAGAUCAGAAUGCUACGGUGAACACGUUCCCGGGCAU
rnacentral:rRNA from 1 species